rnacentral:antisense_RNA from 1 species
CCCAGGGAUUCACCCUGGCCUCGGACUAAUCCUAUGGCGCGCUUGCAAACCCGGCCAUCCCCUGGAGUCUGGAGGUCAUUCCGGACUCCUGAUGCCGCCAGUCCCGCGGUGAGACGUGAGCGCCAUUGGCGUCCGUAGCCUCUGUUUCCGUGGCAACCUAGUAACCAUUAAUUUUCAAUUAAAGGAGACAAAAAGCUCGAUGACAGCUCCAGGUCUGCUGAAGAUGUCAAGAAUCUGUAUUAAUAUACAGCAAGAGAGCAUAAUUGUGUGUCCAUCUUCCAGAGCAGCGAAAAAUGGAGGGAUAAUUACCAGCUCGAAAGCCACUCUGUAAUUUAGUUCUUACUGUCACCACAGCCCUACACAUUAGCAUAAAUUAAAAGCAGAGUUUAUUGUUAUCAAAGUG